rnacentral:lncRNA from 1 species
UAAGAAAGGCUUUUGAUUUUUCUUAUCUUAAAAAGUUUUUGAAGCUGCGGAAGAAGCGAAGUUAUAGAUGGCUUCUGGAAAUUCGCUGGUAUACAUUGGUGGUGCAGACAAGUUCCUAUAGUUGUUUAGCAAAUGAGUAAGUAAGUAAUAAUUUUUUGAGUCUCAGCAUUUAUUCGUUAUGCAAUUUUGAAUUCUUUUAGUUUUUUUUUUUUGCAGAGGAGUCGUUGUUACCACGUAACGAGUUUUUUUGAGUCUCAGUAUUUAAUUUUCUGUAAUUAUACUCUCUUCUUCUUCUCUAUCGUUCCAUUUUCUUUGUCGUUUUAUUUUUUUGAGUAUAGCAAAGAUCUUUAUUCUAACAGCUUCUUCUCUUAUCUGAAAAUAACUCUAUAUCAUUCCUUCUGCAUAAGUCAAGUUCAAGGUUUUCUCAGAUUAUACUUCUAUUUUAUAACUUUAUUGUUCACAGCAUAAUGGAAAAUCUGGGUUUUGUUUCGUAAAGUACUAUUAUCAGAGACAUGAAGUUAUUCUUAAUAUUAAAAGCUAUAUUCUUCUGGAAAAAGGUAAACACAUUUUC